CAACAAAGAGUGAGUAUAGCUGAAGGAGCUGGGGAGAAGAAAAUAUAUGCAUCAGGGUCCAUGAGCAGACGAGCAGAUGAACAGAUGUACAGAAGAGCAGAGAGGCAGAGAAGCAGCUCAGCAGAGAAGGAGAGAAGAGAAGAGUCUGAACGUCGAGAGGAGUUCAGCUGGAGACAGUCAGAGAGGAGGUCAGCUGUGGAACAGCCAAACUCCAGAGGAAGAUCAUCUUCCCACUCCAUCCCCUUUCCAGUUCCCCACCCGUCCCAUUAAGAGCCAACUCCAUCAUCCAAUAAAAUCCCCAUAUUCACUAUCCUUCAAGUCCAUGUGUGAUACCAAGAGGGCACUGGU
rnacentral:lncRNA from 10 species